GACGAACGCUGGCGGCGUGCUUAACACAUGCAAGUCGAGCGGAGCGGCGAACGGGUGAGUAACGCGUGAGUAACUGCCCCCCUCUCUGGGAUAACAGUUGGAAACGGCUGCUAAUACCGGAUAGUGGGGGAUGACUCGCGUCCUAUCAGCUUGUUGGUGGGGUGAUGGCCUACCAAGGCGGUGACGGGUAGCCGGCCUGAGAGGGUGACCGGCCACAUAGAGCGGAGAUAAGGCCCAGAGGACUACGGGAGGGGGCAGUGGGGGAUAUGGCACAAUGGGCGAAGGACUGAUGCAGCGACGCCGAGUGGGGGAUGAAGGCUUUCGGGUUGUAAACCUCGCAUGAACAAGGCUGGGUAGGUGGAGAAGAAGCGCCGGCUAACUACGUGCCAGCAGCCGCGGUAAUAC
rnacentral:rRNA from 1 species